AACGAACGGGGGAGGCAUGCCUAACACAUGCAAGUCGAACGAGACCUUCGGGUCUAGUGGCGCACGGGUGCGUAACGCGUGGGAACCUGCCCUUAGGUUCGGAAUAACUCCCCGAAAGGGGUGCUAAUACCGGAUAAUGUCUUCGGACCAAAGAUUUAUCGCCUUUGGAUGGGCCCGCGUUGGAUUAGCUAGUUGGUAGGGUAAAAGCCUACCAAGGCGACGAUCCAUAGCUGGUCUGAGAGGAUGAUCAGCCACACUGGGACUGAGACACGGCCCAGACUCCUACGGGAGGCAGCAGUGGGGAAUAUUGGACAAUGGGCGAAAGCCUGAUCCAGCAAUGCCGCGUGAGUGAUGAAGGCCUUAGGGUUGUAAAGCUCUUUUACCCGGGAUGAUAAUGACAGUACCGGGAGAAUAAGCGCCGGCUAACUCCGUG
rnacentral:rRNA from 1 species